rnacentral:lncRNA from 1 species
ACACACACAGAGUAAGAAACGGGCAGCAAGCUGGACCGAAAAAGAGAGAAAAAUUAGGAGAAAAAGGGAAGAAAAAGGGAAAGAAGGAAGGAAAGAAAAAAAAAAGGGAAGAAGAGGAAAAGAGGUAAGGCCAAUUUCUUCAAGCUUGAGUUGAAUUUUUCCAUUUUUUUCUAGUGAUAAAGUAUGAAUUAUGUUAAAAUUCUAGGGUUUUAUUUUGGCUCGAAAUUUUCAGAUUUUUUUGAGAGGAAUGCUACUUGGAGCUCAAAUUAUUGAUUCUUGAAUUUCUAUCUACAUUAAGGUAAGGAGAUGUCAAUUUUUUUUUGGGAAACCCUAGAAUUCGAUUUUGGGAUUUUGAUUAAUUAUUUGUGGGAAUGAUUAUAUAAAUGGAAUAUUUCACUUGGGAGUUGAUUUUAUGGAACAAAUAUAUAUUAAAUGGGUGGAAUUGUGGUUACUAGUUUCACUAUAUUGGAGACUAAAAUUAGUUUUAAACUUGGGAAGAAGGUUUUGUUGAUGAAUUAAUUAUUAGAAAAGGGAUUAGAAAGUGGGAUUAGCUCCAAUUGAUCAAAAGAAUAUUUGGGAAAUUCAUUUGAGCAUCGACCAAUUUUAGUUAAGUAUUAUAGAAGUAGAUCUUAAAGUUUCUUAAUUUAAUAGUGGCUGAUUAGUCAUCUUGUUAUAUAUUCCAGGUGGUGACGAGGAGAUUGGAAGAGCCUAUCGACCAUCUUAGGUUCAACUUGUAUUAUGUGAGUAGAUAAGCUUAUUUUUUUAGAAAUAAGUAUUUAUUUAAUUUUGAAGUUACGUAUUUUAUAAGUUGAGUUGAUGGCAUGAUUUUUCAAAAUAAAACGAAUUUUAUUAUCAAAUGUUUUUAAAAUUUAAAUUCAGUUCAGUUAAAUUCUUUCAUUGACAUAUUAUUUCAGUAUAUUCAAAGUUAUUUUAAAACCAUCAGAAAGUAUCCAAGUGAUUUUACCCUCGUCUGCACUAGUGUGAAUGUGUUUCCACAGUGUAUGACUUCAUAUGGUUAUUUUACCCACUCUGCGCUGGUGUGAAUGUGUUUCCACAGCGUAUGAUCAGUAUAGUGAUUUUACCCACUCUGCACUAUUGUGAAUGUGUUUCCAUAGUGUAUGACCAUUUUAUAGCUCUGCGCGCGUACGACCAGAAUUUCAGAAUUGAAUAACCUUGCUUUGUAGAUCGAGAUUAAUCGAUUCACGAGUAUGGUUAUUCCGGGUACAUUUUUGGUGUGAUAUUUCAGUAUCACAUAGCUUAUCAGAUUUUAGAAAUGCAGUAUACAGAAUAAAGAUGUUUAUGAUUACAGUAUAUUUUAAUUUUGAUUGUAUCAUCAGAUUUUAAGCUACAGAACUCAGCCUAUUCAAUUUAAAGAAUAAAUAUUUAGUUUAUAUGUCUGUGAAAAGAAAUUUUAUGCUAUAUGUCGAUUUUAAGAAAGAUUUUAUGAAUGGAAAAUUAUAUUUUUGCAAAUAUCCACUCACUGAGUUAUAGGCUCACAUUUUUAUCACUAUUUCUCUUAUCAGAUAGUAGCUGAGUUGAACACUACUGGGCCAGUUGAUCUAUUAAGUUGAGCCAUAGAUUGUCAAGCAUUGUAUGAACUAUCUUUUCAGUUUAAGAGUUCAUAUUUUGGGAUUUUGGUCAUAAAUUAGUUUCAUGUGUUGGGCUUGCUAUGUUUUGUAUAUAUAUUAUCGAUUUUGGGUACUAUUGAUUAGAAAUUGUUGCAAAAGUCGAAUUGCCAGUGUUGUAUUUGAAUAGUUGAUAUUUUGAGGGGACCGAUGUACCCUAUUUCAAAUGACGUGUACAUGUUUGGGAUAUUUGAUUUUAUUUUCAGGUAGUUUUAGUCCAUUUUUCAGAGGGAACUCUGCUGAAAUUUUAUAAAAUUAUAACAGUCAUAGUAUGUCAAGUUUGCCUUGGUGGUGGGUCCGGCACUUCACUGGUAUCUACCAUCGGCGCACAACACGUGUCGGAUCCAUUAGGGUGAUCGGGACGGGUCGUGUCGAUUGGUAUCAGAGCAUGGUUAUAAAGUCAGUUUGCAUGGUUUAUUUGAAUUUUGUUCUGAUCAUAUCAUACAUAUUUUGUAGUUGGAAGUCAUGGCUCGUGGUAAUAAGAC